AAACAGUUCUGGAAAUCUAUUUAAAUAAUCAAUACUUUUACCGUGUAUAAAGCCAGCAUAUAUGCACAUGUAAAUGGGUGUAUACAGUUUAUUUCCACCUAAACAGAGUAGUGAUUGUUGGAACAAGGAAAA